rnacentral:lncRNA from 1 species
UUAUUAAUACUAUAGGUAUUUUGGUAAAUUGAUUCUCAGUCCUAUUCUUCAUUUCUAUUUAUUUUGCCAAGUAAACACAUCAAUGGCAUUCCAGCACAUUUCCAUUCUCAUUUAUUUUUGCCAAAUAAACAUUGAAAUCUUAUUUCCAUUCCUCAUUCUCAUUCCACUUCAUUCCCAUUUCAUGAAAUAAACACACUAUAAAAGUAUUAUCUUACUGGUAACCCAUGCCCGCACAGUGCUCAGGUUCUAAAAUAAUUUGGAGAAUGCUGCAGUAGUCCCUCAAUGUGUAUGAGCUACUCAAACAUAAACAUGUUUACUUUGGUGCACUUAAUUCAUCAACAUCAAGUUGCAAAUCCAAAUGCGAGAUAUAUUUGUGAUUAACACUAAAAAGUGUACGUGUAAUAAGGAUGAAAUUAUUAGUUUUUUACUUAAAGUGUUGAUUAAUGCGCGUAUAACUUAUAAAUUAUAUGAAUGCUCCCCAAAUAAAUUUAUGUGUUAAAUUAAUUCGUAAUAUGU